rnacentral:rRNA from 1 species
GAUGAACGCUGGCGGCGUGCUUAACACAUGCAAGUCGAGCGAGUGAGUUCUUCGGAACGAUCUAGCGGCGGACGGGUGAGUAACACGUGGGCAACCUGCCUCAUAGAGGGGAAUAGCCUCCCGAAAGGGAGAUUAAUACCGCAUAACAUCGUUGAAGGGCAUCCUUCGAUGAUCAAAGGAGCAAUCCGCUAUGAGAUGGGCCCGCGGCGCAUUAGCUAGUUGGUGAGGUAACGGCUCACCAAGGCGACGAUGCGUAGCCGACCUGAGAGGGUGAUCGGCCACAUUGGGACUGAGACACGGCCCAGACUCCUACGGGAGGCAGCAGUGGGGAAUAUUGCACAAUGGGGGAAACCCUGAUGCAGCAACGCCGCGUGAGUGAUGACGGCCUUCGGGUUGUAAAGCUCUGUCUUUGGGGACGAUAAUGACGGUACCCAAGGAGGAAGUCACGGCUAACUACGUGCCAGCCGCCGCAGUAA